CGGGGCUGUGGGAUGCAGGCCCGAAGAGGCGGAGGGGAGAGGACGCGGGAAGCCAGUGUGCCCCGGACGCAGUGUCCUAGCGCUCAUCGGGUCAUCCUCUGCAGCCCAGAUUGUCCCUGUCCAAGACUGCGGAAUGAAGAAUCCAGAACCUGUGUGUAAGUCCUCUCUGGUCAGCAAAGGAAUCUGUGCAGAGCGCCAUGAAUUAGAGGAUGGGGGAAUGAGUGCUUGAAGAUGCCCGAGGUAUGGUCCUUAUCCGUGUGACAUUUGGAGGUAAGAUGGCGUUAUAAAUUGUGCUCAUGCAUUUCUAAUUAAAAGCCAUGGGAUUAGGCUUACCAAGGUCACUUAAUUGAACCCUUUUGUUCCAGGCUGUUAACACGCUUCCCCAGUUCUUUAGGAACUCAGUGAGAUGGGGCUGGUGGGAGAGAUGGGGGAAAACUCGUGAACUGGCGCAUAGUUGGCACACCAGUUGCCAUGAGAUGAGUGCUGUGAGGCAGAGAACUAGGUACCUGCUGGCAUGGCAGGAACUUGGAAUCAGGUACCACCAUGUCUGUCUGGAUCUUUAAGCGGAAUCGGUUUCACAAACUUUGCUUCUGUAAUUCAAAGGGCAGAGCCUUCCUUUGGGAUUAAUCGAGAUAAGGUUUCCUGUGUAAAGUGGCAGCAGUAUGGAGAGGCAGAGCUGACAGCAGGAAGGGUUUCUCUGGGGCAGGGGAACACAAGCUCUAAUAGUAGAUUUGAGAACUUUAAUAGUCUAGGUUGGGUAGUCUGUAAGAUUCGUUAGGAUUAUGUUAUUAACUAGUUAAGGGGUAAAUGGGUUAUUUUGGGGUUUUUAUUUUGUUGUUUUUAAAAGAUUUAUUUAUUUCAUGUAUAUGGGUACACUGUCGCUGUCUUCAGACAUGCUAGAGGAGGCCCAUUACAGAUGGUUGUGAGCCACCAUGUGGUUGCUAGGAAUUGAACUCAGAACCCCUGGAAGAGCAGUCAGUGCUCUUAACCACUGAGCCAUCUCUCCAGCCCCUUUAUUUUGUUUUAAAGACAGAGUCUGUAUAGCUAGCCCACCAUGGCCUCAAACUCAGGAUUCUUCUGCCCCAGCCUCCCAAAGCAGUAGGAUUACAGGUGUAACCACCACUGCCCCUGGCUUGAUUUUUGUUGUUUUGGAGGUUGUUUGGUUGUGGUGAUGGUCUUUCUGGGAAUUGACCUAAGGCCUCAUUCAUUGUUUUGAAAUCCCUUGAAUACCACAGUAGUUUGUAUAUUAUUUCCUGGACCAUGGGGAGAAAGUGGAUGCUUUAGUGACUGAAUUACACUUUUAUAGGUUUAAAGUCAGCAUAUAUAUGUGCUGGAAUCCAGGGAAAACAGAGGCAGAAGACCCACUGAAUCACAGUGUUGUGAAACAGAUGAGCUUUAAAUCAGUUAUUGACCCUAUGCAAGAGCAGCCAGUGCUCUGAACCACUGAGCUAUCUCUCCAGUGCCUGUAGUUUCACCUAUUAUUAGUAAAGGGUGGAUGUUGAGAAGUUAGAGAUGGA
rnacentral:lncRNA from 1 species